GGUUAAGUUAGAAAGGGCGCACGGUGGAUGCCUUGGCACUAGGAGCCGAUGAAGGACGGGACGAACACCGAUAUGCUUCGGGGAGCUGUAAGCAAGCUUUGAUCCGGAGAUUUCCGAAUGGGGAAACCCACCACUCGUAAUGGAGUGGUAUCCAUAUCUGAAUUCAUAGGAUAUGAGAAGGCAGACCCGGGGAACUGAAACAUCUAAGUACCCGGAGGAAGAGAAAGCAAAUGCGAUUCCCUGAGUAGCGGCGAGCGAAACGGGAUUAGCCCAAACCAAGAGGCUUGCCUCUUGGGGUUGUAGGACACUCUGUACGGAGUUACAAAAGAACGAGGUAGAUGAAGAGGUCUGGAAAGGCCCGCCAUAGGAGGUAACAGCCCUGUAGUCAAAACUUCGUUCUCUCCUGAGUGGAUCCUGAGUACGGCGGAACACGUGAAAUUCCGUCGGAAUCCGGGAGGACCAUCUCCCAAGGCUAAAUACUCCCUAGUGACCGAUAGUGAACCAGUACCGUGAGGGAAAGGUGAAAAGCACCCCGGAAGGGGAGUGAAAGAGAUCCUGAAACCGUGUGCCUACAAGUAGUCAGAGCCCGUUAACGGGUGAUGGCGUGCCUUUUGUAGAAUGAACCGGCGAGUUACGAUCCCGUGCAAGGUUAAGCAGAAGAUGCGGAGCCGCAGCGAAAGCGAGUCUGAAUAGGGCGCAUGAGUACGUGGUCGUAGACCCGAAACCAGGUGAUCUACCCAUGUCCAGGGUGAAGUUCAGGUAACACUGAAUGGAGGCCCGAACCCACGCACGUUGAAAAGUGCGGGGAUGAGGUGUGGGUAGGGGUGAAAUGCCAAUCGAACCUGGAGAUAGCUGGUUCUCUCCGAAAUAGCUUUAGGGCUAGCCUCAAGGUAAGAGUCUUGGAGGUAGAGCACUGAUUGGACUAGGGGCCCCUACCGGGUUACCGAAUUCAGUCAAACUCCGAAUGCCAAUGACUUAUCCUUGGGAGUCAGACUGCGAGUGAUAAGAUCCGUAGUCGAAAGGGAAACAGCCCAGACCGCCAGCUAAGGUCCCAAAGUAUACGUUAAGUGGAAAAGGAUGUGGAGUUGCUUAGACAACCAGGAUGUUGGCUUAGAAGCAGCCACCAUUUAAAGAGUGCGUAAUAGCUCACUGGUCGAGUGACUCUGCGCCGAAAAUGUACCGGGGCUAAACGUAUCACCGAAGCUGCGGACUGUUCUUCGAACAGUGGUAGGAGAGCGUUCUAAGGGCUGUGAAGCCAGACCGGAAGGACUGGUGGAGCGCUUAGAAGUGAGAAUGCCGGUAUGAGUAGCGAAAGAGGGGUGAGAAUCCCCUCCACCGAAUGCCUAAGGUUUCCUGAGGAAGGCUCGUCCGCUCAGGGUUAGUCGGGACCUAAGCCGAGGCCGAAAGGCGUAGGCGAUGGACAACAGGUUGAUAUUCCUGUACCACCUCCUCACCAUUUGAGNNNNNNNNNNNNNNNNNNNNNNNNNNNNNNNNNNNNNNNNAAGGCUGAGCUGUGAUGGCGAGCGAAAUAUAGUAGCGAAGUUCCUGAUUCCACACUGCCAAGAAAAGCCUCUAGCGAGGUGAGAGGUGCCCGUACCGCAAACCGACACAGGUAGGCGAGGAGAGAAUCCUAAGGUGAUCGAGAGAACUCUCGUUAAGGAACUCGGCAAAAUGACCCCGUAACUUCGGGAGAAGGGGUGCUCUGUUAGGGUGCAAGCCCGAGAGAGCCGCAGUGAAUAGGCCCAGGCGACUGUUUAGCAAAAACACAGGUCUCUGCGAAGCCGUAAGGCGAAGUAUAGGGGCUGACGCCUGCCCGGUGCUGGAAGGUUAAGAGGAGCGCUUAGCGUAAGCGAAGGUGCGAAUUGAAGCCCCAGUAAACGGCGGCCGUAACUAUAACGGUCCUAAGGUAGCGAAAUUCCUUGUCGGGUAAGUUCCGACCCGCACGAAAGGCGCAACGAUCUGGGCACUGUCUCAACGAGAGACUCGGUGAAAUUAUAGUACCUGUGAAGAUGCAGGUUACCCGCGACAGGACGGAAAGACCCCGUGGAGCUUUACUGCAGCCUGAUAUUGAAUGUUGGUACAGCUUGUACAGGAUAGGUAGGAGCCUUGGAAACCGGAGCGCCAGCUUCGGUGGAGGCAUCGGUGGGAUACUACCCUGGCUGUAUUGACCUUCUAACCCGCCGCCCUUAUCGGGCGGGGAGACAGUGUCAGGUGGGCAGUUUGACUGGGGCGGUCGCCUCCUAAAAGGUAACGGAGGCGCCCAAAGGUUCCCUCAGAAUGGUUGGAAAUCAUUCGCAGAGUGUAAAGGCACAAGGGAGCUUGACUGCGAGACCUACAAGUCGAGCAGGGACGAAAGUCGGGCUUAGUGAUCCGGUGGUUCCGCAUGGAAGGGCCAUCGCUCAACGGAUAAAAGCUACCCCGGGGAUAACAGGCUUAUCUCCCCCAAGAGUCCACAUCGACGGGGAGGUUUGGCACCUCGAUGUCGGCUCAUCGCAUCCUGGGGCUGUAGUCGGUCCCAAGGGUUGGGCUGUUCGCCCAUUAAAGCGGUACGCGAGCUGGGUUCAGAACGUCGUGAGACAGUUCGGUCCCUAUCCGUCGCGGGCGCAGGAAAUUUGAGAGGAGCUGUCCUUAGUACGAGAGGACCGGGAUGGACGCACCGCUGGUGUACCAGUUGUUCUGCCAAGGGCAUCGCUGGGUAGCUAUGUGCGGACGGGAUAAGUGCUGAAAGCAUCUAAGCAUGAAGCCCCCCUCAAGAUGAGAUUUCCCAUUCCGCAAGGAAGUAAGAUCCCUGAAAGAUGAUCAGGUUGAUAGGUCUGAGGUGGAAGUGUGGCGACACAUGGAGCUGACAGAUACUAAUCGAUCGAGGACUUAACCAC
rnacentral:rRNA from 1 species